GCGAGAAUAGCUCAGUUGGUAGAGCACAACCUUGCCAAGGUUGGGGUCGCGAGUUCGAAUCUCGUUUCCCGCUCCA
rnacentral:tRNA from 1 species